rnacentral:rRNA from 1 species
UACGGGGGGAGCAAGCGUUGUUCGGAUUUACUGGGCGUAAAGGGCGGGUAGGCGGCCACCGCAAGUCAGUUGUGAAAUCUCCGGGCUUAACCCGGAAAGGUCAACUGAUACUGCGGGGCUAGAGUGCAGAAGGGGCAACUGGAAUUCUCGGUGUAGCGGUGAAAUGCGUAGAUAUCGAGAGGAACACCUGCGGCGAAGGCGGGUUGCUGGGCUGACACUGACGCUGAACUGCGAAAGCUAGGGGAGCGAAUGGG